rnacentral:misc_RNA from 1 species
CCGAGUUUACAACUCCCAAACCCUUCUGUGAACAUACCUAUAUCGUUGCCUCGGCGGGAUCGCCCCGGGUGCGCUUGCCGCCCCGGAACCAGGCCCCCGCCCGAGGACCCCAAACUCUUGUUUUUCAGUGGUUUCUCUGAGUGGCUUCUAAAGCAAGAAAAUAAAUCA